rnacentral:rRNA from 1 species
UACAUGGGGUGCAAACGUUGCUCGGAAUUAUUGGGCGUAAAGCGCACGUAGGCGGUUUGUUAAGUCGCGUGUGAAAGCCCCCGGCUCAACUGGGGAGGGUCACGCGAUACUGAUCGACUCGAAGGCAGGAGAGGGUAGUGGAAUUCCCGGUGUAGUGGUGAAAUGCGUAGAUAUCGGGAGGAACACCAGUGGCGAAGGCGACUACCUGGCCUGUUCUUGACGCUGAGGCGCGAAAGCUAGGGGAGCAAACGGG